CCAACAGUGUGCCUUUGCAACCCUGGAACCGGUGUGGCUUGGUGACACAGAAGAAGCCACAGGCAGCCGACCUGGACUGGAAUCUCUGAAAGAGACACCCCAGGAGAUUCCAGGGUGUAAAAGAACAGCCCUCCCAAGAGUGGAAGCAUGUUGGAAAUUCUGGACAAGCUGCUUACAGGAUAAUCUCCCGUCCACCUAUUCCCCUUCUCUGAACAUUAUACACAGAAGUGGCCAGUCUGGAUGUACGCAGAGAAAACUGAUGCCAGCUGA